AUGGAUCACUUCAUGAGGUUUGCCCAAGCCUAUGCAACAAAGAACAAAGCAGCUAAAACAGUUGCUGACAAGCUCUUCAAUGACUUUGCACUCAAGUUCGGCUUCCCGACCAGACUACACCACGACAUGGGCAAGGAGUUUGAAAACAAACUCAUGGCAAGAUUGAAAGAACUCUCUGGUAUCCAGGGCUCCCACACGACACCCUACCACCCACAGGGUAAUGGACAGGUGGAGAGAUUCAACCGCACCCUGCUGUCCAUGUUGCGGACCCUGGAGGACAAGGAGAAGGAUGAUUGGAAAGAGUCGCUAGCUAAAGUCGUCCACGCGUACAACUGUACGAAGAAUGAGGCAACAGGCUACGCCCCAUAUUACCUCAUCUUUGGACGUUCCCCACGCCUGCCCAUCGACUUGCUCUUUGACCUGAAAAGGGAUGAAGCUCAUGUGGACUAUGAUGACUAUGUUAGCUGCUGGAAAAAGAGAAUGCAGGAGGCGUACACAGUGGCUUCUCAAACUGCUAUCAAGGAAACUGCUCGAGGCAAAGCAUACUUCGACAAGAAAGUUAAAGGGAGAGAUCUUCAGCCUGGGGAUAGAGUGCUCCUCCGAAAUCUCACUCCUCGAGGUGGACCCGCAAAGAUCCAGUCCUUCUGGGAGAACCAAGUCUACAAAGUGAAGGAGAGGAAAGCAGAUGACAGUCCAGUGUAUCUGAUCAGCCCUGAAAAUGGUGAAGGCAGAGAUAAAGUGGUGCACAGAAAUCUCCUACUGCCCCGUGACUUCCUACCAUUUGAGAAGCCAUCAACACAGACUGUUCAGCCCCAAAAAGACUCUCCAACUGUGACAAGGAAAAAGUUCAGACCUCCGCGUAGACAGCUGCAGCCAGGGAAUGGCGACACAUCGGAUGAUGACGACAGUGGCACCUACCAGUGGUACCUCAGGCCGGUUCCAGGGAGACGACAGAGGCAGACUCCGCUUAACCCUUUGGCAGAGUCCUUCCAGCCUCAUCUGAGUCUCCACUGUCAAGAAGAGGAUUUGCCACUACAGAGCGAAGAGGAUUUGCCACUACAGAGCAAAGAGGAUUUGCUACUACAGAGCGAAGAGGAUUUGCCACUACAAAGUGAAGAGACUGUGCCUGGGCAGAUCGAAGGCCCUGACCCUGACAUUGACAGGCCACUGAGUGGUGAUGCUAUGACUGACAUUCUAGCUGCAACUGGUGGUGAGACUGAGUCUGUGAGGCAGCGACCUCAAAGACAAAGACAGCAACUGACUGUACUGAGCUAUGACACUUUAGGUCAGCCAACUUUGGUUAAGAGGAACUGUACAGUGACUAUGGCUCAAGUUGGGGUGCUUCAGCACCCCCAAAAUGAAUCAAAGCACCCCCAAAGAUUUCUUACUUUUUUUUGA
rnacentral:lncRNA from 1 species